UACGUAGGGGGCGAGCGUUGUCCGGAUUUAUUGGGCGUAAAGAGCGUGUAGGCGGCUUGACAAGUCUGCUGUGAAAACUCGAGGCUCAACCUCGAGAUGUCGGCGGAAACUGUCUGGCUAGAGUCCGGAAGAGGAGAGUGGAAUUCCUGGUGUAGCGGUGAAAUGCGCAGAUAUCAGGAAGAACACCUAUGGCGAAGGCAGCUCUCUGGGACGGUACUGACGCUGAGACGCGAAAAGCGUGGGGAGCGAACAGG
rnacentral:rRNA from 1 species